UAGGGAAUCUUCGGCAAUGGACGAAAGUCUGACCGAGCAACGCCGCGUGAGUGAAGAAGGUUUUCGGAUCGUAAAACUCUGUUGUUAGAGAAGAACAAGGACGUUAGUAACUGAACGUCCCCUGACGGUAUCUAACCAGAAAGCCACGGCUAACUACGUGCCAGCAGCCGCGGUAAUACGUAGGUGGCAAGCGUUGUCCGGAUUUAUUGGGCGUAAAGCGAGCGCAGGCGGUUUCUUAAGUCUGAUGUGAAAGCCCCCGGCUCAACCGGGGAGGGUCAUUGGAAACUGGGAGACUUGAGUGCAGAAGAGGAGAGUGGAAUUCCAUGUGUAGCGGUGAAAUGCGUAGAUAUAUGGAGGAACACCAGUGGUGAAGGCGGCUCUCUGGUCUGUAACUGACGCUGAGGCGCGAAAGCGUGGGGAGCAAACAGG
rnacentral:rRNA from 1 species